rnacentral:rRNA from 1 species
GAUGAACCCUGGCGGCGUGCCUAACACAUGCAAGUCGAGCGAACCUUUCGGGGUGAGCGGCGGACGGGUGAGUAACGCGUGGGUGACCUGCCCUAUACACACGGAUAACGUACCGAAAGGUACGCUAAUACGGGAUAAAGUUGUUGGAUGGCAUCUUCUAACAAUCAAAGCUCCGGCGGUAUAGGAUGGACCCGCGUCUGAUUAGCUAGUUGGUGAGGUAAUGGCUCACCAAGGCGACGAUCAGUAGCCGACCUGAGAGGGUGAUCGGCCACACUGGAACUGAGACACGGUCCAGACUCCUACGGGGGGCAGCAGUGGGGAAUAUUGCACAAUGGGCGAAAGCCUGAUGCAGCAACGCCGCGUGAGCGAUGAAGGUCUUCGGAUCGUAAAGCUCUGUCCUCAAGGAAGAUAAUGACGGUACUUGAGGAGGAAGCCCCGGCUAACUACGUGCCAGCCGCCGCGGUAA